GCUCCAGUAGCCUAGUGGUUAGAGCAUCCGCCUCGGACGCGGGAGGUAGUGGGUUCGAUCAACGGCCGAGUCA